UUGGCAUUGUAUAUCUUUUCAUUAAAUAAUUAAAAACAGAAUGCGACAGAAAUCAAUUAUAUUCAUAGCUUCAACCUUUAACAAGUAAAUAUCUAGGGUUUAGUUUUAUAGUAUAGAAGUAUCACAAUCAACGAUAUGUAGGUACAACGGCUUAUAAGGACUAUUUUUUCUGACGACCCUAACAAUUGUAUUAGGCUUUUAAAUUCAUGGCGAAACAAAAAAAAUAUUUUUGAGUAUUUUAUAAAAAAACAAAUUAUUUAAGAAAACAAUAUUGUCGCAUAAAUUCCAUUGUCUAUAUAGUAAUAGUUAACAAGACAUUGCAAGAAUGUGAGUUAGAAUCCAUUCAUCAAUUACACCAGCUGUGUUGAUGUCAAAUUAUAUUUUUAAUCUAAUGUAAAACGUCAUUUGUAAAUGUUAUUAGUAGAAAAGAACAUAUUGACUUCCACAAUUUAGUAUACGUUGAGAAUACAAGGCAAUGUUUUUUUAUAGUUUGUUGUAUAAUAUCCCUUAAAAUUAGAAUUAAAUACUCUUCGCAUUUUGAUACAUUUCAUAAAGAAUCCUAUGCGUUCAAGAUUCUAAAGGAAUGUUGAGAGUUUGUAAAACUCCAAAGUAUUUGCGGAAAACGUCAAUACAUUUUUCAAUUUCUAAGUGGAUCCUCUUGAAUCCAUUUGGAAACUCGAUCCCUGGUUUCCUGCGUGAUACUAACAUUACCAAGCUUUACUAAAUUGGGGCAAGAAGUGAUGAUAAAACUUUCCACCUGCAUUUCGUCGAUCAUCCGAGAAAGGCAUAUGAA